rnacentral:rRNA from 1 species
UACAGAGGUCCCGAGCGUUGUUCGGAUUCAUUGGGCGUAAAGGGUGCGUAGGCGGUCUGCUAAGUUUGAUGUGAAAUCCCGGGGCUCAACCCUGGAAUGGCAUUGAAUACUGGUGGACUAGAGUACUGGAGAGGAAACUGGAAUUUACGGUGUAGCAGUGAAAUGCGCAGAUAUCAGGAGGAACACCAAUGGCGAAGGCAGCUCGCUGGGACGUGACUGACGCUGAGGUGCGAAAGCGUGGGGAGCAAACAGG